GAUGAACGCUGGCGGCGUGCCUAAUACAUGCCAGUCGAGCGAACAGAUGAGGAGCUUGCUCCUCUGACGUUAGCGGCAGACGGGUGAGUAACGCGUGGAUAACCUCCCUAUCAUACUGGGAUAACUUCGGAAAACCGGAGCUAAUACCGGAUAAUAUAUUGAACCGCAUGGUUCAAUAGUGAAAUACGGUUUUGCUGUCACUUCUAGAUGGAUCCGCGCCGCAUUAGCUAGUUGGUAAGCUAACGGCUUACCAAGGCAACGAUGCGUAGCCGACCUAAGAGGGUGAUCGGCCACACUGGAACUGAGACACGGUCCAGGCUCCUACGGGAGGCAGCAGUAGGGAAUCUUCCGCAAUGGGCGAAAGCCUGACGGAGCAACGCGGCGUGAGUGAUGAAGGUCUUGGGAGCGUAAAACUCUGUUAUUAGGGAAGAACAAAUGUGUAAGUAACUAUGCACGGCUUGACGGUACCGAAUCAGAAAGCCACGGCUAACUACGUG
rnacentral:rRNA from 1 species